AGAGGGCGUGAAACCGCUUAGAAGGAAACGAGAGGAGCCGCUGUCAGUCAGAGAAAUUCAAUUGUUCUGCUGCUCUGUGGCAUGAUCAGUGCAUUUUUUGUUGGCUUGCGCUGAGAGCUGUGCGGGAGGUGUUGGAACCCUCGUAAGGAGGUAGGCACAUCACUGUGUACAUAUCCUUGCUUGCUACAUCGCGUUCCCGUACAGUUUCUAAACACCCUGAACGGUUCAGUUCCGGCUGAGCAUUUUCUUCGAUUCUCGGUUUCUGGUUUCUAGCCGGACUCUGGGAUCGGAGUUUUGUGAUGCUAUCGGCUGAGAUGGUGUUGUUUCGGUGUGAAAGUCGGCUACCCUCCCGACCCGUCUUGAAACACGGACCAAGGAGUCUAACAUGUGCGCGAGUCAAUGGGUCUAUGAAACCUACAGGCGCAAUGAAAGUAAAGGCCGGCUCGGUCGGCUGACACACGAUCCGGACGGCUUGCCGCUCGGCGCAGUGUGGUCCCAUCUUGGAUGCUUGUCAUC
rnacentral:rRNA from 1 species